AGAGUUUGAUCCUGGCUCAGAACGAACGCUGGCGGCGUGGUUAAGGCAUGCAAGUCGAACGGGGUCUUUGAUGUAGUAAUACUGAUAAGACUUAGUGGCGAACGGGUGAGUAAUGCGUGGGUAACGUACCCUGUGCUCGGGGAUAGCGGCGGGCUUCGGCCCUUUGCGAAAGUGCCGGUAAUACCCGAUGACAUCCUCUGGUCGCAUGGCCGGGGGGUCAAAGUUUUUCGGCACGGGAGCGGCCCACGUCCUAUCAGCUUGUUGGUGGGGUAAUGGCCUACCAAGGCUCUGACGGGUAGCUGGCGUGAGAGCGCGACCAGCCACAUCGGGACUGAGACACUGCCCGGACACCUACGGGUGGCUGCAGCAACGAAUAUUCCGCAAUGGGCGAAAGCCUGACGGAGCGACGCCGCGUGAAGGAUGAAGUCCUUCGGGAUGUAAACUUCGAUAGUAUGUCAGGAAGAUCUGACCAGCAUACGAAAGGGGUGGCUAACUCCGUGCCAGCAGCCGCGGUAAUACGGAGACCCCUAGCGUUGUUCGGAAUUACUGGGCUUAAAGCGGGUGUAGGCGGAGCGGAAAGUACCUUGUGAAAGCCCCGGCCUCAAUCCGGGAAUUGCUCGGUAUACUAUCGCUCUUGAGGCAGGCAGGGGUCACUGGAACCUUAGGUGGAGCGGUGAAAUGCGUAGAUAUCUAAGGGAACGCCUGUGGCGAAAGCGGGUGACUGGGCCUGUUCUGACGCUGAGACCCGAAAGCGUAGGGAGCGAACGGGAUUAGAUACCCCGGUAGUCUACGCCGUAAACGAUGCGCACUAGGUUCGAGGGUUCUGACAACCGUCGUGCCGAAACAAAAGCGAUAAGUGCGCCGCCUGGGGAGUACGGCCGCAAGGCUAAAACUCAAAGGAAUUGACGGGGGCUCACACAAGCGGUGGAGCAUGUGGAUUAAUUCGAAACUACGCGAAGAACCUUACCUGGGUUGAACUACGGCGGAUGCCCUCGAUGAAAAUCGAGUAAGCUGCCUUCGGGUGAAACGUCGAUAGGUGCUGCAUGGCUGUCGUCAGCUCGUGCUGUGAAGUGUCGGGUUAAGUCCCUUAACGAGCGAAACCCUUAUCGUUAGUUGCCAGCGGGUCAUGCCGGGGACUCUAGCGAGACUGCCGGCGUUAAGCCGGAGGAAGGUGGGGAUGACGUCAAGUCAUCAUGGCCUUUAUGCCCAGGGUGUCACACGUGCUACAAUGGGGUGUACAGAGCGACGCAAGACCGUGAGGUGGAGCAAAUCGCACAAAACAUCCCUCAGUUCGGAUUGGGGUCUGCAAUUCGACCCCAUGAAGUUGGAAUCGCUAGUAAUCGCGCAUCAGCCAUGGCGCGGUGAAUAUGUUCCUGAC
rnacentral:rRNA from 1 species